rnacentral:rRNA from 1 species
AGAGUUUGAUCAUGGCUCAGAGCGAACGCUGGCGGCAGGCUUAACACAUGCAAGUCGAACGGGCACUUCGGUGCUAGUGGCAGACGGGUGAGUAACACGUGGGAACGUACCUUUCGGUUCGGAAUAAUUCAGGGAAACUUGGACUAAUACCGGAUAAGCCCUUCGGGGGAAAGAUUUAUCGCCGAUAGAUCGGCCCGCGUCUGAUUAGCUAGUUGGUGAGGUAACGGCUCACCAAGGCGACGAUCAGUAGCUGGUCUGAGAGGAUGAUCAGCCACAUUGGGACUGAGACACGGCCCAAACUCCUACGGGAGGCAGCAGUGGGGAAUAUUGGACAAUGGGCGAAAGCCUGAUCCAGCCAUGCCGCGUGUGUGAUGAAGGCCUUAGGGUUGUAAAGCACUUUUGUCCGGGAAGAUAAUGACUGUACCGGAAGAAUAAGCCCCGGCUAACUUCGUGCCAGCAGCCGCGGUAAUACGAAGGGGGCUAGCGUUGCUCGGAAUCACUGGGCGUAAAGGGCGCGUAGGCGGACUCUUAAGUCGGGGGUGAAAGCCCAGGGCUCAACCCUGGAAUUGCCUUCGAUACUGAGAGUCCUGAGUUCGGAAGAGGUUGGUGGAACUGCGAGUGUAGAGGUGAAAUUCGUAGAUAUUCGCAAGAACACCAGUGGCGAGGGCGGCCAACUGGUCCGAUACUGACGCUGAGGCGCGAAAGCGUGGGGAGCAAACAGGAUUAGAUACCCCGGUAGUCC